UUAAUCUGCCCUACACAAGAGGACAACAGUUGGAAACGACUGCUAAUACUCUAUACUCCUGCUUAACACAAGUUGAGUAGGGAAAGUUUUUCGGUGUAGGAUGAGACUAUAUAGUAUCAGCUAGUUGGUAAGGUAAUGGCUUACCAAGGCUAUGACGCUUAACUGGUCUGAGAGGAUGAUCAGUCACACUGGAACUGAGACACGGUCCAGACUCCUACGGGAGGCAGCAGUAGGGAAUAUUGCGCAAUGGGGGAAACCCUGACGCAGCAACGCCGCGUGGAGGAUGACACUUUUCGGAGCGUAAACUCCUUUUCUUAGGGAAGAAUUCUGACGGUACCUAAGGAAUAAGCACCGGCUAACUCCGUGCCAGCAGCCGCGGUAAUACGGAGGGUGCAAGCGUUACUCGGAAUCACUGGGCGUAAAGGGCGCGUAGGCGGAUUAUCAAGUCUCUUGUGAAAUCUAAUGGCUUAACCAUUAAACUGCUUGGGAAACUGAUAGUCUAGAGUGAGGGAGAGGCAGAUGGAAUUGGUGGUGUAGGGGUAAAAUCCGUAGAUAUCACCAAGAAUACCCAUUGCGAAGGCGAUCUGCUGGAACUCAACUGACGCUAAGGCGCGAAAGCGUGGGGAGCAAACAGGAUUAGAUACCCUGGUAGUCCACGCCCUAAACGAUGUACACUAGUUGUUGGGGUGCUAGUCAUCUCAGUAAUGCAGCUAACGCAUUAAGUGUACCGCCUGGGGGAGUACGGUCGCAAGAUUAAAACUCAAAGGAAUAGACGGGGACCCGCACAAGCGGUGGAGCAUGUGGUUUAAUUCGAAGAUACGCGAAAGAACCUUACCUGGGCUUGAUAUCCUAAGAACCUUUUAGAGAUAAGAGGGUGCUAGCUUGCUAGAACUUAGAGACAGGUGCUGCACGGCUGUCGUCAGCUCGUGUCGUGAGAUGUUGGGUUAAGUCCCGCAACGAGCGCAACCCACGUAUUUAGUUGCUAACGGUUCGGCCGAGCACUCUAAAUAGACUGCCUUCGUAAGGAGGAGGAAGGUGUGGACGACGUCAAGUCAUCAUGGCCCUUAUGCCCAGGGCGACACACGUGCUACAAUGGCAUAUACAAUGAGACGCAAUACCGCGAGGUGGAGCAAAUCUAUAAAAUAUGUCCCAGUUCGGAUUGUUCUCUGCAACUCGAGAGCAUGAAGCCGGAAUCGCUAGUAAUCGUAGAUCAGCCAUGCUACGGUGAAUACGUUCCCGGGUCUUGUACUCACCGCCCGUCACACCAUGGGAGUUGAUUUCACUCGAAGCCGGAAUACUAAACUA
rnacentral:rRNA from 1 species